AUGUGGUUCACCUGCGUUUCUUGUUCUAAAAGGUUUAAAAUUGUCUUGUUUAAAGCUUUUGUAAAACACUACCCCCUUUUUUACAAGCCCCUAAGACAGGCUCUGGUAAAUAACGAAAGGGCAGUCUGUGGUGUCUGCCUCUUCCUCCAUGGAAAUGUCAAGAAAAUGCUCUCAGAGCCACACCUCUACACGCAGGAAGCCCCAGGGGAGACAGUCUCCCAUAGAUAUUUUCGGUUACUUUCAUUUUUCCACAUAAACGCACAGUAUUUCUCAUGAAGGGCUAUUCUAAUCGAGAGAUCAGUUUUUGUAGCAGAGGCAAACAAUUGCAUUCAUCAUAUUUUCUUCAUCAUGUCAAACCAAGUGAGUUUCACACAUUCCACUCUUGCUAAGAAGAAUAUUACAGAAAAUCAGCAGGUUCUAGAAUAUUAUUAUGAUCUGUACACAGAGCAGCACAUAUAAACACAUGAACACCAUCCCUCCUGACUGGAUGGAUGUAAAUUAUUUAGCACAGAUUUUUCUGGGCAGCCAAUGGACUCACUUUGCCUACUGUCUAAGAUGAGGCGACUUAGUAGAUUAGUAGAAGAAGGACAUCAAGACACAUCAAUUGUCUGUCCGUGUGCUCUAGUAAAGUGCCAAAAAUGUAAAAAAAAAUAAUAAUAAUAAUAAUUAUGCUCCAGUUGCGUGUUAGUUGCUUAUAUAUAGAGAUAAUUAACAAGUGAUUAUGUAAUUGAAUAAAUCAACAUACAGCAGACUUGAAUGUGUUUUUCCCUCUGGAAAAGCUCUUGGAAUAAUGUCUGGGUUCAUAUAAACUGCUCUUUACCUCUCUGUUUACUGAACAAUGUUUAAUCUGUUCUUCUCACACAUCCAUUAACUCCAUCAUCCUACUAUGUGCUUAAUACAUGAUAAAACAUUUUUUUUUUUUUUGUGAAACAUUAGAUCAAAGGACAUCGAAUUUUACUGUAAAAUACAAUAUUUUUUAGAUUUUUUUUUUUUUUUUUUUUUUUGAAGUAUAAAGAAUGAUUUUUAUAAUUUAGGCUACUAUAAAAAUCUAUACUAUAUUCAAAAAGGUAAUACAUGUUUUAUUCUAAUGCAUUCAGCAAAAUAGGAGAAAUCUUAUUAUCUAUAGUGAACACAAAAUUAUUCUGAUUAUAUUUUAUUACAUGCUUAUAUUUAUGCUUGUUUUAUUGCACAUUGUGGUGUUUAAGUUAAAUUUUAUUUUCUGAAGUUUAGUUGGUCUUCAUUACAUUAUUUUAAUGCUGUUAUUACUGUGCUUUCUGUGAAUUUUAAAAUACAAACAUAUUUUUGUAGUUCGUAUAGGUUUAAAUAUGAACAUUAUAUGUUAUAUAUGGUUUUGACCUUAUUUGGUUUUGAAAUAUACAGGCACCAAAUGGCAAACAAUAAUACCUUAAUUUCUGGAAACCACAGCUGUUUCCCCCAUAAAUUUUACAUGAAUUCGCUCAGUCUAUAGCCUACUUCAGUUGCAGUAAUCAGAAAACGCAUUUUUAUGUAUUCCAACCAAAAGUUAAGCUGUACUAACUUAUUUUUGUACAUACAGAAGCAAUGGCAAGCACCUGCCUUAAAAGGUAAUUAAUCUCUCUCAUCGUUUUAUUCAAGCAGAGCUUGUUUUAGAGGAAAAACAACUGAAUACAUUUGUUUAAAACAUGCACCUCACCUUCAAGCCAUAGGAUAUUAGGAAUAAGCUCUGUUCUUCUGUCCGUUUAUAUCCACAACUUCUUGAUGUUUAGCAUCUUUUCCCCACACAGUCUCAAACUGUCCGUACUCGUUUCUGCAAGAGCGUUUAGUGUUCACGAUGCUGAAGAAUUUCACUUGACUGAAUCGUGAAUCGUGAAACGUUAGUGUAUCUUUUUAUUGGUAAAAUAUACUAGAUUACUGGUCUUACGUCUAACUUUAAAAGCCAGUUAGUGCGUGCUGUCAACAGAAGAGCGCGAAUACCGGGCGCAUCGAUGCUCUUACCAGCAGUAACUGUGAGCGCUUGGCAGGUAGGAGGCGGAGUUGACUGAUCUCAACAAGAGAAAAUUCCCAGAGGAUCCAAUGAAAUACGAACACAAAGUUCAAUACAAACCCGUCAAAAAUGAAAUCUGUCAAAUGUACAGUGUCCCUUCAACAUUUUAAGAUAGGCUACACAUAAAAUUAAAUUCAUGAAUGUCAUUAGGUAAAAUCAAACUAAGUGACAGCUGUAACAGUACAAACACACUUAUCCACAUACACUCUCUGAAAUAAUAAAGCUACCAUUUAUGAAAAGCACACACACUGGUUUUUCUUUUGUGAAAAGUGGGGACAUCCCAUAGGCGUAAUGGUUUUUAUACUGUACAAACUGUAUAUUAUAUGGCCCUACACCAACCCUACACCUAACCCUAACCCUCACCAAAAACGUUUUGAAUUUUUACUUUCUCAAAAAAAAUAAAAAAAAAAAAAUAAAUAAAUAAAUAAAUAAAUAAAUAAAUAAAUAAAUAAAUAAAUAAAAUAAAAUAAAAUAAAAUAAAAUAAAAUAAUUCUGUAUACAGUAAUUUAAAAGUGUUUUGAAAAAUGGGGAUAUGGGUUAUGUCCUCAUAAGUCACCCUCUCCUUGUAAUACCUGUGUCAUACCUAUAUAUCAUACAGAGUUGUGUCCUGAUAUUUCACAAAAACAAGAGCACAUACACACACACACACACACACACACACAUCCAUGUUUUAUGGAGACAUUCCAUAGGGGUAAGGUUUUUAUACUGUAAAAACUAUAUUUUCUACCGCCCUGCCUAGACCAACCCUAUACCUAAACCUACCCAUCACAGGAAACUUUCUGCAUUUUUAGAUUUUCAAAAACAUUUAUACCAAAAUAAUAAAACAAGGCAGUAAAUUUACAUUAUACUUUAUUUAUGAACUGUUAUUAUUUUUUUUUACAGUUUUCUUUCAACUGCUUACACACAUUUUCAAAACUUUGCAUCUUUUUCUUUUUUUUUUCUUUUUUUUAUAAAACUUCACAUACAAAUACAAGAAUUGCACACACAAAAUGCAAAAUUUUUCACAUCUAAUAUCAUAUAUACACAGUUAUUCAAAACCUAAAGCUCUUAA
rnacentral:lncRNA from 1 species